GGGGCAUCGGGCAGGAGGCCCACCCCAGAGCAACCCCAAGUGUGCCUGUCUGGGACCUGGGUCCCCCCACCCGCCCCAUCAACAGGAGAUCCAGGGACCAGGUAUGGGGGUGGGGUGUCUCCUGCUCUCACUCUGGGUUCUUGCUGCCUCCUGGGUUGUUGAGGUUCCCCACCGGGCUCUGUUGGCUGGAGGUGGUGUGUGGUCAGCUGUUUCCGGAAGGUGCUGUCCAGUGGAAAGCUCAGGCUGCUCUUGAAGGGGAUGGUGCUGUCAGGAGUGAUGUCAUUGCAUGCCUUAUUUUUUUUAUCACCCUGGACAGCUUCCACUCCGUUGCUUUCCUGAUAGUGAUGUCGCCUGAUGACUCCUCCCUGAGUGUCUGCUGUGCCCCAGGUACUGGCCAGUGGUCACCUGACCUCCAAAGCCAGAUGUUUCCUCCGUGAGCUUAGUUUUGUCUCCUUGCAACUGCGAAGACCUUCACCGCCCUGAAUUGAUUUUGAGAAAACAUUGACACAGUGCGCCAAAAAGGACAUUCCCACCAAGUUCUAGAAUUACUCUCUUACCAUUCUUAUUCCAAAAUAGGGUGAGUUCUUCUUAUUUAUACUGAUUGGUUCUCUUUGGUGUGGACAUUUUCCUUAGGGACAUUUAAAAGCGUAAUUUAAAAUUGAAUUUUAAAAUUUUAAAAUCAGAGAGAAAGACAACUUGUCAUGUCCCCAGACGCAAAUGGAAUUUUGUAACUUGUGUUCAUUCAUUUCCUGGGACCCUCCCCCUACUCAGCCCCCCC
rnacentral:lncRNA from 1 species